rnacentral:rRNA from 1 species
GAUGAACGCUGGCGGCGUGCCUAAUACAUGCAAGUCGAGCGAACGGACGAGAAGCUUGCUUCUCUGAUGUUAGCGGCGGACGGGUGAGUAACACGUGGAUAACCUACCUAUAAGACUGGGAUAACUUCGGGAAACCGGAGCUAAUACCGGAUGAUAUUUUGAACCGCAUGGUUCAAAAGUGAAAGACGGUCUUGCUGUCACUUAUAGAUGGAUCCGCGCUGCAUUAGCUAGUUGGUAAGGUAACGGCUUACCAAGGCAACGAUGCAUAGCCGACCUGAGAGGGUGAUCGGCCACACUGGAACUGAGACACGGUCCAGACUCCUACGGGAGGCAGCAGUAGGGAAUCUUCCGCAAUGGGCGAAAGCCUGACGGAGCAACGCCGCGUGAGUGAUGAAGGUCUUCGGGUCGUAAAACUCUGUUAUUAGGGAAGAACAUAUGUGUAAGUAACUGUGCACAUCUUGACGGUACCUAAUCAGAAAGCCACGGCUAACUACGUG